AGUGCUGGGCCUAAAGGAGAUAACAUUUAUGAAUGGAGAUCAACUAUACUUGGUCCACCGGGUUCUGUAUAUGAAGGUGGUGUGUUUUUUCUGGAUAUCACAUUUUCAUCAGAUUAUCCAUUUAAGCCACCAAAGGUUACUUUCCGCACCAGAAUCUAUCACUGCAACAUCAACAGUCAGGGAGUCAUCUGUCUGGACAUCCUUAAAGACAACUGGAGUCCCGCUUUGACUAUUUCAAAGGUUUUGCUGUCUAUUUGUUCCCUUUUGACAGACUGCAACCCUGCGGAUCCUCUGGUUGGAAGCAUAGCCACUCAGUAUUUGACCAACAGAGCAGAACACGACAGGAUAGCCAGACAGUGGACCAAGAGAUACGCAACAUAAUUCACAUAAUUUGUAUGCAGUGUGAAGGAGCAGAAGGCAUCUUCUCACUGUGCUGCAAAUCUUUAUAGCCUUUACAAUACGGACUUCUGUGUAUAUGUUAUACUGAUUCUACUCUGCUUUUAUCCUUUGGAGCCUGGGAGACUCCCCAAAAAGAGGUGUGGUGGAAAGGUCUUCCAGAACCAGAGGCUAAGCACACAGCAGUACAAAUAUAAAUUCUUUAUUCCAGCUUCCAGAAUUCCUCCUCUUCAGCCUUGCCUGCUCACUGGAAUAAUGAAGCAAUUAAACAGUGGUGUAAAGAAGUUCCAUCGAGUGGUUGAAGUUCAAUAGAAAACAAGGAAAUAGGCUGAUGUAUAUCAAAUACACCAUCGGCACUCUGAGUCCUUCCCAGGUUCACUAAAGGGGGAGGAGGGGACACCGUUUUAGAUUUAAUUUG
rnacentral:sRNA from 1 species